CUUUUGUAGUUUGUAGUCUAGCAGGCCCAAAUUUAUAAGACAUUAGUUGGGUCUGCUAAAUAUUUUUUGUAGUUUGUAGCCUAGCAGACCCA
ensembl:ncRNA Y51H7C.33 ncRNA